rnacentral:rRNA from 1 species
UGGUUAAAAAGCUCGUAGUUGGAUCUCAACAGCCUUGUAAGCGGUUAACUUUGUAGUUUUACUGCUUUAUAGGCUGUGCUUUUGCUGGAGGUUUAGGGGUGCUCUUGAUCGAGUGUCUCUGGAUGCCAGCAGGUUUACUUUGAAAAAAUUAGAGUGCUCAAAGCAGGCUAAAAUGCCUGAAUAUUCGUGCAUGGAAUAAUAGAAUAGGAUGUCGAUCCUAUUUUGUUGGUUUUCGGGACUCGACAUAAUGAUAAAUAGGGACAGUCGGGGGCAUUUGUAUUCAAACGACAGAGGUGAAAUUCUUGGACCGUUUGAAGACAAACUACUGCGAAAGCAUUUGCCAAGAAUGUUUUCAUUAAUCAAGAACGAAAGUUAGAGGUUCGAAGGCGAUUAGAUACCGCCCUAGUUCUAACCAUAAACGAUGCCAGCUAGCGAUCUGCCUGCGUUUUUACUGUAGACUGGGCAGGAAGCUUCCGGGAAACCAAAGCAUUUGGGUUCCAGGGGAAGUAUGGUUGCAAAGCUGAAACUUAAAGGAAUUGACGGAAGGGCACCACCAGGAGUGGAGCCUGUGGCUUAAUUUGACUCAACACGGGAAAUCUCACCAGGCCCGGACACUGGAAGGAU